rnacentral:rRNA from 1 species
GACGAACGCUGGCGGCGUGCCUAAUACAUGCAAGUAGAACGCUGAAGAGAGGAGCUUGCUCUUCUUGGAUGAGUUGCGAACGGGUGAGUAACGCGUAGGUAACCUGCCUUGUAGCGGGGGAUAACUAUUGGAAACGAUAGCUAAUACCGCAUAACAAUGGAUGACACAUGUCAUUUAUUUGAAAGGGGCAAUUGCUCCACUACAAGAUGGACCUGCGUUGUAUUAGCUAGUAGGUGAGGUAACGGCGCACCUAGGCGACCAUACAUAGCCGAACUGAGAGGGGGAUCGGCCACACUGGGACCGAGACACGGCCCAGACUCCUACGGGAGGCAGCAAGAGGGAAUCUUCGGCAAUGGGGGCAACCCUGACCGGGCAACGCCGCGUGAGUGAAGAAGGUUUUCGGAUCGUAAAGCUCUGUUGUAAGUCAAGAACGAGUGUGAGAGUGGAAAGUUCACACUGUGACGGUAGCUUACCAGAAAGGGACGGCUAACUACGUG